UACGUAGGGUGCGAGCGUUAAUCGGAAUUACUGGGCGUAAAGCGUGCGCAGGCGGCUUCGCAAGUCAGGCGUGAAAUCCCCGGGCUUAACCUGGGAACUGCAUCUUAAACUGGGAGGCUUGAGUACUGUAGAGGACAGUGGAAUUUCCGGUGUAGCGGUGAAAUGCGUAGAGAUCGGAAGGAACAUCAGUGGCGAAGGCGACUGUCUGGACAGAUACUGACGCUGAGGCGCGAAAGCGUGGGGAGCAAACAGG
rnacentral:rRNA from 1 species